rnacentral:rRNA from 1 species
UGGGGAAUAUUGGACAAUGGGCGAAAGCCUGAUCCAGCCAUGCCGCGUGUAUGAAGAAGGCCUUCGGGUUGUAAAGUACUUUCAGCGAGGAGGAAGGCGUUGUGGUUAAUAACCGCAGCGAUUGACGUUACUCGCAGAAGAAGCACCGGCUAACUCCGUGCCAGCAGCCGCGGUAAUACGGAGGGUGCAAGCGUUAAUCGGAAUUACUGGGCGUAAAGCGCACGCAGGCGGUCUGUCAAGUCGGAUGUGAAAUCCCCGGGCUCAACCUGGGAACUGCAUCCGAAACUGGCAGGCUAGAGUCUUGUAGAGGGGGGUAGAAUUCCAGGUGUAGCGGUGAAAUGCGUAGAGAUCUGGAGGAAUACCGGUGGCGAAGGCGGCCCCCUGGACAAAGACUGACGCUCAGGUGCGAAAGCGUGGGGAGCAAACA